rnacentral:tRNA from 1 species
UGGGGUGUGGCUCAGUGGUAGAGUGCUAGCCUAGCACGUGUGAGGCACUGGGUUCAAUCUUCAGCACCACAU